AAAUAAUCCAAAAUAAUACAAAAUAAAAGAAAGACUUCAUAUUUUCCAUCCGAAUUAGACUUCAAUUUGUUAAAAUAUAAAUUAAAGAGUUUAGAGAUCAUUCUUCUUGGGCAAGUCACUACACAAAUCUUUUAUAAUCUCUCCAUUAGUAUUGUUUUCAUUGACUUUAUUUUCUAUUCCCAUUUUAUAGCAAUGCUUCUUACUUGUAGAACACUGGCCAUUUCCAUUCCUAUUUUCAAUUUCCUUACGUUUUGAUGAAGGAGUGGAAGUUGAUGACAAAUCAACUUCAUAAACCUCAACACCAUUAGUGAGAAAAAGCGAAAACCAAAUAGAAUUAAUAGAUAACGAAAUUUUAAUAAGUAUAAAUGAUGAAAUACAUAUUUAUAAGACGAUUGAACUUGUUCGAUCAAGAGAAACCACUGACGAAGGAUUCACAUAAAUAUCUGAGUCUUCAAGAACGAUUUCAUCAACAAUAUUUUCAUCAUACAGUCUAGUUACAUUGUAGUAGUCAUAUCUACUAAAGAUGUUUUCGUUCUGAAGAUAUAAGAGAAACUGAAACCAUUUAAAAAAAUUGAAGAUAAACCAUGGUGAACAUUUAAACUUUUUCAUAAUUAAUACCUUAGUAGUAGCAAUCACUUCCAUGAUAGUUUGCCUAGGAUACUUAGCAUCAUCAUCAUCCUCAAUUUUUGAUGCAAACUAUCUUCUAUAGAACGAAUUUGUUCCUCCUAAUGUUAUUCCAUCGCUUGAAAUGUUGCAUAAAAAUAUUUAA
rnacentral:sRNA from 1 species